rnacentral:lncRNA from 1 species
UCAAGACAAGUGGACAAGUCUUUGUAAUAAAAAACAAAUACUGUUUCUGAAUGUGAACUCGCGUACUUGAACACACGACCCCAAUUUAUAUCCUUUUUUUUUAAUAAAUUAAAAAUUGUAAGAAGAAAGAAUUCUUCAUCGAUUCCAGCGAAGGUAAAAGCGUAUUCCUCGUGAGCACUACUACCUUCUCACUCCUCUUCCUCAUUCUUCUUCUUCUUCAGUCUCCCUUCACACAAUCUUCAUCACAAAGCUCCAAGCUUUCCGAUGACGUCGGAUGGUGCUACAUCCACAUCAGCAGCAGCUGCCGCCGCAGCAGCGAGGAGGAAACCGUCGUGGAGGGAGAGGGAGAACAACCGGAGGAGAGAGAGAAGGAGAAGAGCCAUAGCAGCCAAGAUAUACACAGGUCUAAGAUCACAAGGCGAUUACAAUCUCCCCAAACAUUGCGAUAACAAUGAAGUCCUCAAGGCUCUCUGUGCUGAAGCUGGUUGGGUCGUUGAAGAAGACGGCACCACUUAUCGCAAGGUCAACACUUUUUUCUCUCCAGAUCUGAGUUUAAAUCUGAUUACUUAGAUCUGAUUCUUGGAAAAUCUCAAUCAGUUGUGUUCUGUUUCUUGGAAUCUAUUGAUGUUUGUUUGUCAUUUUGAGUCGUACAGGGAUGCAGCAGGCCUCUACCUGGUGAGAGUCCCAUCCCUUCUUACCAAGUCAGCCCAUCUUCAUCCCGUGGUGAGCCCAACAACAGCUCCACAUGUUUAAGAACGCUUGUCCUAGCGCUUACAGCUACGCUUAUGACGACGCGACAAGUACGUUUACUUGUGCCGGGGCUAACUACUUGAUCACUUUCUGUCCCACCCGGUCUUGAAAACCGGUUGUUCCGGUUUAGAUUCCGGUUUGGUUGCUGUUUCAUGUUUCUUUUGCUUGUUAUGUACGGAAAGAUAAUGACUUUGUUUCAUCCUAUUUCAUUUUAAAGAUUUUUAGUGUAGUUGUUACACAUCUCAUUUGCAUUGUUGAUUUCAUUAGUAUCUUUUUUUUAAUUAUUGAUUUUGAAGACGUUUUGCAGUACUUACAUACAUGCUAACAUCAAUAUAUAUAUGGACAAAUAAAGAUGGAUGCUUUGAUUAGAGAUUAGAGGGCUACUUCGUUUUUAGGUCAUUGCUGCUUGAUGUACUUGCAUGAAUGAGCAAUAACAACAUCUACUAUUAACACAUGAGACAGCUUUAAUUUACUACUAUACUCAACGUUUAAGCCAUGGAAUGGUUAAAACUAUUUGACCGCAGAUUGGAUAAGGUCCAAAGGAGGUGGGGUUUGUUAGCCUAUCUAGGAGCUUGUUAAGAUGAGUGUUUCUGAUGUUCUUUUGAUUUCCACCUGCAAGCCUUCUUCAUUCCUUUUGCAGCUUGAACGAAUCCCACAAUAACCUGAAGCUCAUCCAUUUCCUAUAAACCAGAGAGGAGACAAAUAUCACAAAUUUAUUGUAGCUUUUUGGCCCUUUUGAUUUCAAUUGUUAGAAGAAGAGGGGAUGUUUACCUGAGACAUGAAGUGUCUCUGAACAAUGUCAAGUAGUUGCUCUAUUGAUGGAUUCGGAAGUGCAUCCACCUUACAAAAAGGGAAUCACAUCUUGUCAAAACUAAAAACUCACUUCCACAGUUUUACCGGUUAAAACGUCAAGUAGUUACUCUUGACUCACAAGGUUAAAAUGUUGUAUAUAUCUCUGUAACGCAGGCAUAUCCAACUUGCUAAGAUCAACCUUCUGUGGAAAAACAUAUAUUUCCUCAGUAAGUAACCAGAAACAUUAAAAAGCAUAUACCAUAAUUUCCAAAGGCAUUACCAUGUUCGCACGAGGAGUAAUAAUACUCUGGCUUUUUGAGUGUGAGUCACAAGAUAAGGCUUUGCACAUUGUCUUUUGUGAUAACCGAGCUGAUUUGUAUCCUCUCUGCUUCGACUUAUGAGUCUUCAAAGUGUCUUCAGAUGCUGCAAGAGAGACAAUCAAAGAAGAUGUCUUAACACACACUCAAGAACAUGUCUUUACAGAUUUCCGACAAGGAAACUAAACUCACUCAUAUGAGAGGGAUUAUUCCAUUGUAUAUGCUCGACUUCAAUAUCAUCGUCUUCUUCGUUCCCUGUAGGAGCUUCAAUGACACUAAGUGCAUUCCGCUGCAACUUCACUUCGAUUCCAUUUGUCAAAACCUAUAAAAUGUAAAGCAUGCAUGAGGAAUGGGAUUAAAAUCAGUCAAACAAGUCAAAAGCUUGAGCUUUUUUUUUUUGAGAAAUGGGAGACAAGAACUGGUGGGAUUUUGAUAAUCUAUAUUAGUAAAAUAAUACGCAUUGGUUAUGAAGAAAACGUCUUAAAGAUAUACUACUAAAACCGGAGAAACGGUGAAGUGAGUAAUGAUCAAAGAAAGGAGUUAUAAUUAUUUUUUAAAAACUGCAGCCUAAUGAAAUUGAGAACAUCUGUAAAUUAAUAUUAAAUUAAUUACAAAUAAAACAAAUCUAAAAGCCAGCUUGAACCCACAAAAAGUUGAAAAAAGGAGAAGGAUUCACACGAAAUUUUAGAUGAGAACAAUGGAAAAAGAGAGUUAAAACAAAUAUAAAAAAGUGUAGAUGGUUAUAUUACGAUGCGAUUUUAGAAUAAAGUUUGUAUUUUUAUGGACAAAUCAAAUCCCAUCGGUUUGGUCUUUUCGCUUUUUUCUUUUUUACCUGAGAGUUGAUCCGUUUUGAAUCAACAAAAACAUCAAACUACCAUUGAUUCUGUAUUUUUUUUUUAAUGAAAUCGAACAACAAAGACGUAAUAAGACAAAAUAUGUGAGAAGGCGUGAUGAUUGUUUCUCACCAGCCAAUGCCAACCACCGAGUCCGACGGCUUUCUUAACGACUCCUUGAAGACCGACGAGAACUGAUUUCGUACGGUUGUUCCCGGUGACGACCACUUUCGUAUGACGUGGAAGCACCGUUAGCUCCUCCUCGCUGCUGCAAUCUCCGAAGCAGCUCUGUAGCUGAGAGAAUCCUCCAUUGGAGUUAUCAUUAGCUUCCAGCAUUUUGUUUUCUUUCUGAACAGAACCACCAAUCUCGAGUUUCACGAUCUGUGAAAUGGAAGCUGACGCAUUAUUGGGAGGAUUGAGCAGAGAAAUUAGGGUUUUUAAUUGUGUGAGGAAAAAAGACAGAGGAGGGAAAAGCAGAGUCUAUAGUAUGAGGGGAGAGGACGAUAGCGACCGCCCUCCUAGCUCAAUCACCAAUGAUGUUCAGCCACGUGGAUUUUGUACUGCAAUUGAAAUUGAGCGUUUUUUCUUUAUUUUAGAUUUGUCUGUUCUUAAUUAUUACACCUAAGAAUGGAUAUGUUUACUAAAAACAUGACUUGAGCUUUUAUGUCAUGGCAUAGCAGGCUAAUUAAUUUCCGUUUAUAGUGGUUUUUUUUUGUCAAUAACAUGCUAUAUUUUGUUACUUCAUUCAAGCUUCUAGGUACUAAUUUGUAUUGGACUCUUAAAAAUGGAUUCUUUCCUUUCUCAGAAAAUAAAAUUUUUAAAAAUUGUUUUGGUUAAAUCCUCAUGAACAUUUUAGGUUCUUAUUUGUACUGGAAAUCCGAUUUUUGUAUGGUUUUACAAGAGUUAAAAAAGAAGAAGAAAAUGAGGGCCACAAAUUAGUAAUUUUUGUGUGUAAUGUAUACACGCGAUCGACGUGAAUCUGAAUUGUUGACUGAUAUUUGUGUAAAAAAGACAGGCCUAGAGGGCCCAUUCAAUCGUGUAAUUACGACAGUACCCCCUCACUUUGUGUGUGGAGUUCUUGUUUUUUUUUUUUUUGAAAAAAGGGCAAUGUGGAGUUCUUGUUCCAAAGACAGUUCCAUGAAUUUGAAAUAUUUUUGAAUCACUCACCCACGACUGAAUUUAAUACCUUGCAUCGUAUAAUGUCCAUAUAAAACAAUUAACUAGAACCAAAAGUCUAUUUAUGGAGUGAUUCUUAAGACAUGUUAGCUUAUAAAAUUACUAAUUGACAGAUAAGAGAGGUUAACGAAAGAGGUAAGUGUGAUUUACGUUAAGUUUGUUAAGAAAUCAAACAUUCAGACAGCUAACAUAUAUAAAAAAGUGUAGAUGGUUAUAUUACGAUGCGAUUUUAGAAUAAAGUUUGUAUUUUUAUGGACAAAUCAAAUCCCAUCGGUUUGGUCUUUUCGCUUUUUUCUUUUUUACCUGAGAGUUGAUCCGUUUUGAAUCAACAAAAACAUCAAACUACCAUUGAUUCUGUAUUUUUUUUUUAAUGAAAUCGAACAACAAAGACGUAAUAAGACAAAAUAUGUGAGAAGGCGUGAUGAUUGUUUCUCACCAGCCAAUGCCAACCACCGAGUCCGACGGCUUUCUUAACGACUCCUUGAAGACCGACGAGAACUGAUUUCGUACGGUUGUUCCCGGUGACGACCACUUUCGUAUGACGUGGAAGCACCGUUAGCUCCUCCUCGCUGCUGCAAUCUCCGAAGCAGCUCUGUAGCUGAGAGAAUCCUCCAUUGGAGUUAUCAUUAGCUUCCAGCAUUUUGUUUUCUUUCUGAACAGAACCACCAAUCUCGAGUUUCACGAUCUGUGAAAUGGAAGCUGACGCAUUAUUGGGAGGAUUGAGCAGAGAAAUUAGGGUUUUUAAUUGUGUGAGGAAAAAAGACAGAGGAGGGAAAAGCAGAGUCUAUAGUAUGAGGGGAGAGGACGAUAGCGACCGCCCUCCUAGCUCAAUCACCAAUGAUGUUCAGCCACGUGGAUUUUGUACUGCAAUUGAAAUUGAGCGUUUUUUCUUUAUUUUAGAUUUGUCUGUUCUUAAUUAUUACACCUAAGAAUGGAUAUGUUUACUAAAAACAUGACUUGAGCUUUUAUGUCAUGGCAUAGCAGGCUAAUUAAUUUCCGUUUAUAGUGGUUUUUUUUUGUCAAUAACAUGCUAUAUUUUGUUACUUCAUUCAAGCUUCUAGGUACUAAUUUGUAUUGGACUCUUAAAAAUGGAUUCUUUCCUUUCUCAGAAAAUAAAAUUUUUAAAAAUUGUUUUGGUUAAAUCCUCAUGAACAUUUUAGGUUCUUAUUUGUACUGGAAAUCCGAUUUUUGUAUGGUUUUACAAGAGUUAAAAAAGAAGAAGAAAAUGAGGGCCACAAAUUAGUAAUUUUUGUGUGUAAUGUAUACACGCGAUCGACGUGAAUCUGAAUUGUUGACUGAUAUUUGUGUAAAAAAGACAGGCCUAGAGGGCCCAUUCAAUCGUGUAAUUACGACAGUACCCCCUCACUUUGUGUGUGGAGUUCUUGUUUUUUUUUUUUUUGAAAAAAGGGCAAUGUGGAGUUCUUGUUCCAAAGACAGUUCCAUGAAUUUGAAAUAUUUUUGAAUCACUCACCCACGACUGAAUUUAAUACCUUGCAUCGUAUAAUGUCCAUAUAAAACAAUUAACUAGAACCAAAAGUCUAUUUAUGGAGUGAUUCUUAAGACAUGUUAGCUUAUAAAAUUACUAAUUGACAGAUAAGAGAGGUUAACGAAAGAGGUAAGUGUGAUUUACGUUAAGUUUGUUAAGAAAUCAAACAUUCAGACAGCUAACAUCCGAGUCGUUGUAGUAUAGUGGUAAGUAUUCCCGCCUGUCACGCGGGUGACCCGGGUUCGAUCCCCGGCAACGGCGUAAUCUUUUUUCCCUUAUCUGUUACUGAACCCUCUCACUCAUUCCAAGAGUUACCUUCUUAUAUAGACUUGUUUAGACGUUGCACGCGCAAAUCUACACUUAAUAAAUUAGCAUCAGAAUGUUUUUAAAAUUCACAAAUAAAUGAAUUAUGACGUCUACCAUGUUUCAGGAGUCAGAACUGCACAAUCGUUGGCAAGAAAGAACCUCCACCUUCAUUCGUCAUUCAACUACGUUUCUAAAAGUAAUCUCUGCCAACAUUUUAAGAUUACAGGCAAAUAUUCUUAAUAUUAUUAUUAUUCUUCUUUUGCAUAAAAAAUUCCUAUAAAAGAGCUUAAUUUAAGAUACUCGCGUGUAAAUAUACUCAACGGUUGUUCGUUGGAAGAUUAUGCUGUUGGGUCUUGCUGUGGGACACAAAUCGUCAACCCCCUCUGCUUCUUAUGUUCAAAGAAACUAUACAGAUGAUAUUAUAAAAAUGAAGGAUCCACCAAUUAAUCCAGGUAUUUUUAUUUACCAAAUAGCUACUUCAUUUCAGAAGUAAACUAGAUGGUUCUGUUAAAGUUCCACAGUGGGCGAUGUAAUUUCGUAUAAAAUACAUAAGAAAGAAGGUAACGGAUCAAAAUAUUUUGCUUUGUAUCAUGGUAAAAAAAGUAAGAAGGUUAUAAAAGUCAAAAGUAAUGUACGAUAACCAGUUCAAAAAAAAAAUGUACGAUAACAACCAGCCAGGACAAAAAAAAGUUAUCAAUUUUUUAUUUCGAGAGUGAGAUUUCCAUGCCAGAAAAAGCCCAAAAACUUCUUUAAAUUUAGUUUAUCAUUAUCUUAAAACACGGCUUUAAUCAUUUGUUGUGUUAAUAAUAAACUUAUUUCAUUGGUUUCGAUAGGAAAGAAAAACCAAUCAAAUGGUGUGUGUUUGGGGGACCCACCUAUGUCUUCCCGACACCUUCUCUGUAUUUAUUUUGUUCACUAGUCAUUUACACACACACACACGCGCUCUCUUAUCCUCUACACUAAACCACACACCUUGUUAAUAUAAACCGCAGCUAAUCUCACCAAUGUCAAGACAAGUGGACAAGUCUUUGUAAUAAAAAACAAAUACUGUUUCUGAAUGUGAACUCGCGUACUUGAACACACGACCCCAAUUUAUAUCCUUUUUUUUUAAUAAAUUAAAAAUUGUAAGAAGAAAGAAUUCUUCAUCGAUUCCAGCGAAGGUAAAAGCGUAUUCCUCGUGAGCACUACUACCUUCUCACUCCUCUUCCUCAUUCUUCUUCUUCUUCAGUCUCCCUUCACACAAUCUUCAUCACAAAGCUCCAAGCUUUCCGAUGACGUCGGAUGGUGCUACAUCCACAUCAGCAGCAGCUGCCGCCGCAGCAGCGAGGAGGAAACCGUCG